AAGAGAGGGCCUCAGGACUCAGGUGGUGAUGCUAACACUUUGGAGAGUCUCAUUAUGUCUCCUUUGCCCACAG
rnacentral:miRNA from 14 species